ensembl:lncRNA
AAGAGACCUUGAAAAACAGCACAGUUGUAAGAGAGUGUAUCUUCACUUCCUCGCUGCUGGAUAUCCUGACCUGAUUGAGCAACGUAAGAUGCAGGGAAGGUGAAACGGAGACAUGCCUAAACUUAUCCCUGGCUACACAUACUCUGUGGAUUGGUUUUUUAUCAUCUAGAUCUGAGUCUGGAUGGAGUGUUCUAUAACCCAUCGCAGCUUGUAUGACUGAGUUCCCCUGGGCAUUUGUGGAAAAUAGUGAAUGUGCAAGCAUGGAGCCUGGGUGGGGCUGGGCAUCCCCUUAGAGCCUUGUAGGAGCUUAAGGCAGACAGUUGCUGAAGAGUCAUAUGGCAGGAGGAGCAUCCUGGAGCUCUACAGAGUGGUGCAAGAGAGAGUUAUGGUUCUGAAGGUUUUUCAUAAAAUCAUAGAAUCCUGAGAGUUUCUACAGAAAAGCUUACAGUUUCAUUCUGAAGGAACCUUGCAGUACUCUGUCAAAAAUUUAGGCUGUCACUGUAUCUGCUGGGUGAAGAAGUUGUAAAAGACAAAUUACCUUGGAAAUAACACACUAAAGAUGUGCAAAGAGGUCUCUUCAUCUAGCUUAUCUCUUAAGGUGCUGAUAAGAAAUUCCUUCCUCCCCACUCCCAUCCCAAACCUCAUCAUGAAUCCUCACUGAAAACAACUCUCCCAGUCUCCUGAGAGGUGAGGCAACUCCCUGCACUCCACCCUCCUUUCUGCUCCAGCACAGACUGAAAGCUGAAGGACUGAAAUACCAUAGAAGAAGGCUGCUCUUUGCACCGUCAUUGCAUCAAUCACACAGGGUUUGCAGAUGUGAUGAGUACAAGUUGCCUCAGGAGAAAGCAUGCAGAUGUCUACUUGUCUGUAGAGUGACUGAGCCUGAUAAUCUGAUCACAAGUUUGGCAUUAAUUUCAUGGCAUGGCUUCAUGGACAUUUCCUUUCCACAUGUAAGAUGGUGACUAGCAACAAGCACUACUAUCAAUCAGUUAACAUACUUGGCAAUGUGCGUGAUGUUUAGCAAAGAGUUGAGCUGAUGGCACUUUGUAGCCCCCUGAAAUCCUACCAUGCAAAUCCUGUCUGCCUCCAAGGCCCCUGGACAUCUGAGCUGGCUUUGGAAAUACCAGCCUCGUUAGCAGUGACAUUAGCAGAUAUUCUUAAAUCAGGAUGAUUCAGUUAGUGUAGAAUGUGGAGGAAAAUACCCACCUCCAGAGCUGUCCUGAGUUGCUAGGCUGCUCUGUAGUCUCAUGCCUGAGAGAAUUACUUUUAGCGGCAGGGGAUUGCUCUGGGAUGGGGCUGUCCCAGUUGAUGUCAGACAAACAAACUCAGCUUCCCUGACAUCAUUUGGCAACAUGAUACAAAAGAAAUGACAUACAUCAUGGAAAAGGCAUGAGGCACAUCCUGACCUUGUUGCUCUGCACACUCGCCACCCAGCAAAAAAAAAAAAAAAAAAAAAGUCUGCAUAGCUAGACUGUUUCCAUUAGCUGAAGUAAGCACCACUUUACCACUUUAGCAAAAGUAGGAAGGAGAGGUACCUCCUAUUGAAAUAUCUGAGUGCUUUCUAACAAGGAGGUCUUUCAAAUGUUUAAUGUUAUUUUCCCGAGACCACAUUUAUAUUUAAUAGCAGUGUUGUGCAGAAGCAGUUUGGCCCAGCACUUCUGUUCUUUCAUGGAUGAGUUUUUGAAUGAAUUGAUUCAGAUUCUCUUGCUGGGGGAAAUGUAUCUCAC